rnacentral:rRNA from 1 species
AUACGUAGGUGGCAAGCGUUGUCCGGAAUUAUUGGGCGUAAAGCGCGCGCAGGUGGUUCCUUAAGUCUGAUGCGAAAGCCCCCGGCUCAACCGGGGAGGGUCAUUGGAAACUGGGGAACUUGCGUGCAGAAGAGGAUAGUGGAAUUCCAAGUGUAGCGGUGAAAUGCGUAGAGAUUUGGAGGAACACCAGUGGCGAAGGCGACUGUCUGGUCUGUAACUGACACUGAGGCGCGAAAGCGUGGGGAGCAAACAGGAUUAGAUACCCUGGUAGUCCACGCCGUAAACGAUGAGUGCUAAGUGUUGGGGGGUUUCCGCCCCUCAGUGCUGCAGCUAACGCAUUAAGCACUCCGCCUGGGGAGUACGGUCGCAAGACUGAAACUCAAAUGAAUUGACGG